rfam:Danio rerio chromosome 2, GRCz11 reference primary assembly.
GAUACGGUUUCAUUUGAAACCAUUAAUAUUUCAUGUAACUAUUCC